UGGUGAAAAAUCGAAUAAAAUUGAUGAUAUUUACUAUGAACAAGUGCAUGAAAAAAUAGGGGACAUUAAAAUUAAAAGAAAAAAAGUCCAAAACGUAACACGUACGGAACGUAAAAAGAAUGUGACGAAAAGCAGGAACAUUGGGCGAAAGCUACCUAAAUUUAAUUUUGCGACAUUUGAGAGUACCUACAAUCUUAAAAUUGUCACUUUGAACAAGGAAGAGCAACUGGAAGAGAUCGCAACACGCAAGAAGUCUCUGAACUACCUGGAGUCGCCGUUCAAGUGCGAGGACUGCGGGAAAGGGUUCGGCGUGGAGUCCGCCUACAACAACCACCGAGUCUGGCAUAGCCCGAGCAACGGUCCGCACUCGUGUGAGAUCUGCUCUUCGUACUACACGCGCCGCCGGCUCAAUAUACACCAGAAGCGGCACCAGCUAAAGUUCAUUUGCAACGAGUGCAACUUCGUCUCCAGACACGGGGCACAAGCCAUCAGGCACCACGCCACGCACACGGGCAAGACCUACGAGUGUCCACACUGCUUGAAGAGCUUCAU